GCCUUUCCUUUCACCUUUUAUUUAUUAAUUUUAGAAUAUGUCUGAUCAGAUCUAAGCUUCUAUGAUUCGCUUUCUUUUUUGUUUAUAGAUUCAAUUGACCUUUUCUUACGUUCCUUCACUGAUUAGGCGUUUAUGGUUUGAAUUCCAUGCUUUUGAGCUGAGUAAUUGAAAAGCUUUUAAAAUCUGCGGUCCGUUGAUAUUAUUGUGAUGCAAUCCUAGGGUUAUUGAAGUGGAGUUAUAAUCAAGGAGCAAAAAUUCAAUAUAAGAGCGAAUCAUACUAAUUCAAUCAGUCAUAUCAAGCAAUAGGAUGUCAUUGUAGAGUGUUAACAUAGGCCUGCUAACUAAAGCUGUUAGUCCACGGACAUUUGUGGGUCUGAUUCAAUGAGGAUAGAAAUCAACUGUGGUCUAACGUGUAAUAAUCUAUCUAGAAAAGCUGCAAAUCCUUUGAAUGGAUUAGAGUAAAUGAGUUGCAAAUAUAUUAGAAUGCAGUAGAUUUGGAUCUGUGUUAAACACAUUCUUAGCUUUUCUAUCAGAAUCUAAAUAAGCUCUAAUACUUGCCUUUAAUCUCCUCACGUGUGUUACCAUUGUAAACAAUUAUAAUGCUUUGUAUUUAAGUGAUUGUGUCUUGGCAUGUGCAUUUUAUCUUUAUGCAGAGAAGUCUGAUAUUAUGAGUCUAAAUGAAAAAUUAUGAAUAUGAAACACUGAUUUAAAUUCUGAUCUGAAGCUACAUUCUAUUGGUUGCAACUUGCAAAGUAUUAUACUUCCAAGUUUAUUCAACUAUGAAUUGAAGCAUGAGGUCCCGUUGACCUGCUUGAGUUGUUUGCAUAUUUUAUAUGGGUAGUAAAAGCUACAGUUUUUGUUCUUUUGCUUGGAGGCCAUAUUGUGUAUACUGACUUUGUUUGUUAAUGAUGUGUGCUCUGUUUGAGAAAAUUUCACUGACACUGAAAUAAGCAUAGCAUUGUUAAACCUCAAUUUACACUCAAGUACAAGAAUCUUAUGCUCUGUACCUGUAAAGUGCAACUUUGCGGCUGCUUGAAGUAAGGUGCACAAACUAAAGAUGGGAAGGUUCAAGAAACUUAAAUAAACAGAGUAUUGAUUUUACCAUACAGAUGGUCUCAAACAAUUAGAGCAUUGUGUAACUGUGCAAAGUUCAUAGGUUCAAAUGAUGACUAUAGCAUACUGCUACUUAGAAUGAGCAUCCACAUUCAAGAGCCAUUAAUUUAGUGAUGUUGAUGUUUGACAAAUGAUAGAAAUGUGUUAAACAACGAAAAUUAUAUCAGUACAAGAAAAAGUUUGCUAUAGAAAUGUGUUAAAUUAUGAAAAUUAUAUCAAUACAAGAAAAAGUUUGCUUUGUGCUUUUAAAAAGGUUCUUUCUGUGCUUAAUCAGCUUCUUGUAUAAAGUGUUUCACUCUUGAAGACAAUGCUUGAAUUGAUGGGUUUAGGCAUGUAAAGACUGCCUCCAAAUUGCCGGGCCCAAGGUUGUACUUCAAAAUUGUGCUAGUGAUUUCAAUUAAGAGUGACAUGGUUUUCCUUUUGCUGGAUGUGUCUAUUGUAACGAUCAUUUGGAUUGCAUCUAAGAAACAUGGGAAAAUCUAGUGUCUUCAAGACUUUCUACUUGGUUUAAUGUAGCAGUUGAAUGGGGAACAAAUAUUUACAGUUUGGUGUACCAAAGGGAAAUUUGAAUUCAAAGUUGUUAGCUCUCACUAUGGCCCAUUAAUCCCAUUAAACCCCUUAGAAAAUGAUAAAUGAUCCAUUCUUUUGGCAACUUUUACGUUGUACUUGAGGGUGCACUGCUGGAGUGGGCCUGAAGGAAUUCUGUUGAUAAGGUUGAUUCAUGGCAAAAGAUGAAUUAAAAUUUGUUAAUAUAAAGAUCAUGAUUAGCUUCUGGUGCUCUUUUUGGAACCUGUAUUACUUCUAGUUUGUAUAUGAGCUUUUGCAUCUUUCUAUCUUGUGAGAAUAAAAUACGCUGCUAUGGCGUGGAAUUGGAUGCUGUAACUGAAUGAUCCUUGAUGUCCAGGCAACAGAUUAGAUUGAAUCCCACAGGGAAUAAAGUAGUGGCCUUAGUAGACUAGUAGACUUUCAUAUGCUUUUUUUUAAUUCUAGUUAUUCUGUUUUGUGUAUUCCCAGUUGAAUAUUAACUAUUGACAUCUAUUUAUGGUUUUGCCUGAGCAAUUGUUGUAUUACUUUUGUCCUAUAUGAUGUUUGUUCUGUGAAAUUUUCAGGACUGCUUAUGAUGUAAGUCUUGU
rnacentral:misc_RNA from 1 species